AUUGAACGCUGGCGGAAUGCUUUACACAUGCAAGUCGAACGGCAGCACGGGGCAACCUGGUGGCGAGUGGCGAACGGGUGAGUAAUACAUCGGAACGUGCCCAAUCGUGGGGGAUAACGUAGCGAAAGUUACGCUAAUACCGCAUACGAUCUACGGAUGAAAGCGGGGGAUCGCAAGACCUCGCGCGAGUGGAGCGGCCGAUGUCAGAUUAGGUAGUUGGUGGGGUAAAGGCUCACCAAGCCAACGAUCUGUAGCUGGUCUGAGAGGACGACCAGCCACACUGGAACUGAGACACGGUCCAGACUCCUACGGGAGGCAGCAGUGGGGAAUUUUGGACAAUGGGCGCAAGCCUGAUCCAGCCAUUCCGCGUGCAGGAUGAAGGCCUUCGGGUUGUAAACUGCUUUUGUACGGAGCGAAACGGCGAGCUCUAAUACAGUUUGCUAAUGACGGUACCGUAAGAAUAAGCACCGGCUAACUACGUG
rnacentral:rRNA from 1 species